rnacentral:tRNA from 1 species
AGUAAAAUGCCUGAAUAAAGGGCUAUCUUGAUAGGAUAAAUUAUGUAUUUUAUACUUUUACUA